rnacentral:lncRNA from 1 species
GGGGGAGUGGGGGGCUUGCCGGCGCGUUCACAGGCUCUGGGUUCGCGUUCGGAAACGCUUUCGCAGGGAGCGGGUCGGGAUUCCCCGGAGCAGCACGGUGACGGCGUGCCACAAUCCGGGCUCCAGCUGUGCCGCCUCCGCCCUCCCCAUCCCUGCUAAGGGGCACCUGGCCUGGCUGUCAACUUCCCCUCGAACCAUGGGUUUGCCUUGUGGACCCGCAGCUUCCCCUCUGCCUGCUUCUGCUCUGUCGCGCCUUCGGAAGGGCAUGCUGCUCUCUCCCCUCCACUCCCUCCUUUACACAUGAGGACCCUGAAUCCCAGAGGUGCAGUCAUGUACCCAAGGCCACGUACCUGCUGGUGGCAGAGCUGGGAUGGGACCCUGGGACCUUAAAGAGAGCAAGUCCAAACCCACUCCUAAGAAGCCGGUGCUGCUGAGCUGCCUACCCCUGCUCCUACAGCAAGGUGCCCUGGCAGGAGGGACUGGCUUAUGCCACCCUGUGCAGGAUCGUCUUCUCAGCUUACAGAGCCUAGUGUGAUUCAACAACCCUCCAUCUCUGCCCCCAACAUGCCCAACUGAUCUGGUGGAGGGAACUGAAGAUGAAGGCCUCUCAGGCACCAUGGAUGGGAUGGGUGUGUGUGAAGGGGGCAGGGUCCCCAGGAGCUGCCCCAGGUCUGGCUGGACAGUUGCACGGGAAGUCCUGUUUGUGAACUCAACGUUUCCACGGCUUUUCCAUUAAACUUUACCCCAA